rnacentral:rRNA from 1 species
GCAGUAGCCACGGGAAUACGAAGGGUGCAAGCGUUAAUCGGAAUUACUGGGCGUAAAGCGUGCGUAGGCGGUUUGUUAAGUCUGCUGUGAAAUUCCCGGGCUCAACCUGGGAAUGGCAGUGGAUACUGGCAAGCUAGAGUGUGUCAGAGGAUGGUGGAAUUCCCGGUGUAGCGGUGAAAUGCGUAGAGAUCGGGAGGAACAUCAGUGGCGAAGGCGGCCAUCUGGACCGACACUGACGCUGAGGCGCGAAAGCGUGGGGAGCAAACAGGAUUAGAUACCCCCGUAGUCCCUGUCUCUUAUAC